UUUUCCCUCUUUUUUUUUUCUCCAUGCCUCUAGUGGAUGGACUCACACUGGCUUCCUCAUUCUCCUCAAAGUCAUUCACAGAGAAAAAAUCUCAUUCCUUAGACCCAUUAUGUGAUUAAUGUUUCUUAACAGACCCAUCAUGGAGUUUUCUUUUCCCACCCUUCUUUUUCUCCAUGCCUCUAGUGGAUAUACUCAUACUGGCUUCCUCAUUCUCCUUAGAGUCAUCCACAAAGAAAAAUCUCAUUCCUUGAACCCAUUACAUGAUUAAUCUUCUUAUCGGACCCAUCAUGGAGUUUUCUUUUCCCAUCUUUCUUUUUCUCUAUCCCUCCAGUGGAUGGACUCGCACUGGCUUCCUCAUUCUCCUCAGAGUCAUCCACAAAGAAAAAAUCUCAAUCCUUGGACCCUUUACGCGAUUAGUCUUUUUAGCAGACCCAUCAUGGGUUUUCUUUUUCCACCCUUCUUUUUCUCCAUGCCUCCAAUGGAUGGACUCACACUAGCUUCAUCAUUCUCCUUAGAGUCAUCCAUAAAGAAAAUAUCUCAAUCCUUGGACCCCUCACGUGAUUAAUCUUUUUUAUCAGACCCAUCAUGGGUUUUCUUUUUCCACCCUUCUUUUUCUCCAUGCCUCCAGUGGAUGAACUCACAAUGGCUUCCUCAUUCUCCUUAGAGUAAUCCACAGAGAAAAAAUCACAUUCCUUGGACCUAUAACGUGAUUAAUUUUUCUUACCGGACCCAUCAUGGAGUUUUCUUUUCCCUUACUUCUUUUUCUCCAUGCCUCUAGUGGAUGGACUCACACUGGCUUCCUCAUUCCUCAUUCUCCUCAGAGUCAUCCACAAAGAAAAAAAUCUCAUUCCUUGGACCCAUUACUUGAUUAAUCUUUCUUAUCGAACGCAUGAUGGAGUUUUCUUUUCCCACCCUUCUUUUUCUCCAUGCCUCCAGUGGAUGGACUCACACUGGCUUCCUCAUUCUCCUCAGAGUCAUCUGCAAAGAAAAAAUCUCAUUCCUUGGACCCCUUACAUGAUUUCUCUUUCUUAUCGAACCCAUCAUGGAGUUUUUUUUUCCCACCCUUCUUUUCCUCCAUGCCUCUAGUGGAUGGACUGACACUGACUUCCUCAUUCUCCUCAGAGUCAUCCACAGGAAAAAAUCUCAUUCUUUGGACCCCAUAUGUGAUUUCUCUUUCUUAGCCAUGUCCUCCUCGUUACAGGCGCAUUAUAGUCCAUGAGCACCAAAGAUUGAACCUUUUCCGCCAAAAACAUAAAUUUUAAAUUUUAAAUAUAUAUAUAUAAAGUAAGCUCCUUUACAUCAAAAUCACACUAACACAUGCAUAUGUACAUAUAUAUAUAUAUAUACACACCUACACACGCAACCACAAAGAGAAGACGCUACAGCGUAUAACAAUAACCCCAAAGAUUCAAUUUUUCUCACAGAAGAAAAAUCAGGACAAAGCCAGCUCUUUUCCUUUAAAUCGCACACCCACAUACAUCAUACAACACUUGCAUAUACACACCAGAAAAAGGCAAAACAAAGUGAUAGGGAGACAAAGAGACUUACAAGCAGCAAAAAUGGCGAACUUGCAGAGAGAGAAUAGCACAAUGAGAGGUUCGUGAUGGUCAGCAAAACCAGAAGAAGGCAAAACGGCGCGAAGUGAGAGAGCUUUAGAGCAUGCUAACCACUCCACACCACACCAGAGGGCAAAGGAGUCGGACGCUUUUCUUUCUUUCUUUAUAAGUGUGAAUUUGGGUCUUUGAGAGUUGAAAAAGGAGAGAUCAAAUUGGGGUCUAUAAGUCUGUAUUUAUUUUCGGACAAAGCUGGCCCUUUAUUGGCCUAAAAAUAUAAGGACGUUAGGGGGUAUUACAGAACAACAAGCGAGGUUGCGAGGGGAAUUGACAGAUUAUUUGUGAUCUCAGGUUGAGUAUAUCUCCCUGAGUCCUGUGAGGGGAAUUGAUGGUAUAUUAUUAGAAUUGAUGGAUUAUGUUUGAGGUACAUCUAUGUGGAGAAUAGUGCAGUACCACCCUGUGGUAUAGUUAACAGGAUAUUCUUCACCACCCUACUCACAUUAUCUGCACAGGGUUGGCCAGGAUCCCUAGCCACCUGCCCAACUUGUCUACAUAGGUGGUUAGCUAGUUUCCCCUUCCCCUGUUGCCUUCAGAUUUGAUAGUUUUCCCAUGUAUCAUGUGAUGGGUGAUUACAGGAUAUAUGCAAUACGCGGAUGAUUGCAGGAAUAGCUUUCUGGUAAAAGGUUUGGUUAUGUAAGUAUUUGGAUGAUACACUAAUUAAACAGUUAGGUACAUAAUUCCAUGGAAUGACAUUCAAUUAUGUAGCUGGUUGAAAACAAAGUAAAGAAUGAUUCUAGAAUUUAAUUGUUGGUUUUACCUUGAACAAUAUGAACUUAUCUGAAUUUGUUUUUUGGUAGAAAUAACUAUGUGGCUUGAUCCCUCAGUAAGGAUACGUAGGCAACCUAGGUUAACUAGGUGCAGCCGCAAGUUUAUGAUUUGUUUAUUAUGUUCAGUUUUGUAAAGUCAAAUUUGUUGAACGCUUGGGAAGUAAUUGAGUUUGCUAUGUAGGUAGAUUUCUCGGUUUUAAGCCUUUUCAGGGGGGACUCUGCUGGUUCUCUGGUAGAAGUCAAACCCUAAAGCAAUUUUUGGAUUAGGGCAAGAAGGGUAUUUUGGUCAUUCGUGCCCGACACCUGCCCGGUGUUGGACACGCACGGAGUUCGUACACGGAUUUCAAAGUGGAAUUUGAGUCAAGUCCUUUCAUAUGUUGCAUAUAAUUAUUAUUCAUGGAUCAAUAAACUUUCUAGCCCAGACCAUGGGUACUUAAGUUUGGUUGGCCAAAUGGCCUUCUAAUUUUAACGUCAAGCCAAUUUGGCCUUUAACACUUUAGUAUCAUAAAUUCUUUCUUUCCAAAAUAUUACUUAAUAUGUUUAGGUCAUGGGAUCCAAACCUACCUCCUGACCAAUCUAGCUCACUUUGGAUUGUCAAAUACGC
rnacentral:lncRNA from 1 species